UCAAAUUUAGGCUUUGAAUGUUGG
rnacentral:siRNA from 1 species